rnacentral:rRNA from 1 species
CCUACGGGUGGCUGCAGUGGGGAAUCUUGCGCAAUGGGCGAAAGCCUGACGCAGCGACGCCGCGUGAGCGAUGAAGGCCUUCGGGUUGUAAAGCUCUGUGGGGAGAGAAGAAUAAGGGUUGGCUAACAUCCAACCUGAUGACGGUAUCUCCUUAGCAAGCACCGGCUAACUCUGUGCCAGCAGCCGCGGUAAGACAGCGGGUGCAAACGUUGUUCGGAAGCACUGGGCGGAGGGCUGGCGUGGCCGACGUGAAAUCCCACGGCUCAACCAUGGAAGUGCAUUCGAAACUGCCAGACUAGAGUCCUGGAGAGGAAGGCGGAAUACUCGGUGUAGAGGUGAAAUUCGUAGAUAUCGAGUGGAACACCGGUGGCGAAGGCGGCCUUCUGGACAGUGACUGACGCUGAAACGCGAAAGCGUGGGGAGCAAACAGGAUUAGAUACCCGAGUAGUC